UUAAUCCAAUAGCUGCAGUCAUUUAUUUGCAUUACAGGUUUUUCUCUAAUAAUAUCAAAACAAAAAGAAUUUAAAUAACGUGAUUACAUUCCUAGUAGUAUUGGAGAUAGGAGAGUUUCACAAAGCCAUCGAGACUGUGAGAGAGCUGCAUCGAGAAUCAUCCUUGCAUUGGAAUAUGAUUCCCACAAUCCCUCCAGUUGCAUUGCAUCCAUUCCCAGCAGUCUUUUCACAAUUCCAGAAGAUUUCCUCUGUUUUAGAGGUAUAAAAAUACACCUUUAGUUGAGAUACAUUCAUAGAAAUAUAAAAAUGUAAACCCCUAUGCUCAAGCUUGGCAUCGCUGUCCUGUGACUGGCAGAGGGAUGGAAAGGUGGAGUUCUGCAGGAAGGGGCAAGAAGACAGUCUGUCCUGAAUUGUGGGAGGAAAUAUCAAGCUGACUCAAGGCAGUGAUGAAGACUUUUGGGGGCCGGUUUAGAUUAUAUACAAUAAACAUACUUUUUAAAAAAGUCCAAAAAUGUCAUGUUAUUAUACCUGAAACAUUAAGUAGAAUAAAUAUGGUAUUGGCUAUAUCAGUCACCCUUAACAGCGACAAGGAAAUAUAAAGUCUGACAUGCAGUUUUCCAAUAGGGAUAAAAGUGACAGGAUGAUGAGAUAGACAUGCACCCAAUAAUCCGGACUGAAAAGCCUUCAUGUAGGCUAAACACCUUAAUCGAUCAGAUUGAGCUCAAUCCAAUGAAAUUUCAAUCGGAUUGAAAGGGGUGGUUUAUUCCUUUUCUAGCAUGACUGAGAGUGCAUGUAAACACUCUAUCGGAUUGAAAACCGGAAUGGAAAGGACUGCGCAUGUGCAAUAAUAGCAAAGACACAUGACGCGCAGAACGAACUGUUCUUCCUGCUGAAUAAAGUGUUGAUGAGUGUCCUGUCAUUAUAAAACUCUCCUUUCACUCAGCGUUUUUACUCUGUGAUAAAUAUAAGGAGCACGGCACAGCAGUUUAUAUGCUCAUUGUCUACAAAUUGUGACCAGCAAUUGGUAAAUAUUCAUUCUGCUUUUUAAAACAGUUAAAGAAACAGUGUAGGAGAAUGGUUAUUAAACUGAAACUACAAAGACUAAUCCAAAACUAACAAUGACAGAGUAGAACUUCUGAAAAUGAAAUUAUACAGAAUAAAAUAAACAAGAAAACUAAAACAAAAAAUGGGAGUGAAUAAACGAUGAAACGUUGAAAACAAUGAAACAAAAAAUAAUAAUAGGCUAAUAAUAAUCAAAAUAAACCAAAAUACAUACAAAACUAAAACAACUACAAUGGCAACAGACAGACCAUAUGAAACUAUAAAAACUAAAACUGAUCCAAAACUGACAAUGAUAAAGUUACUAAUGAAAACUAAGCUAAAAUGAGAAGUCAAGUAAAAAAAAAAAUUGAAAUAACCCUGCAUCAACCAGCAUAAAACUUGGCUCAAUGUGUCUUGACAAAAUAAGCAAAAACAAAUGAGAAUAGGCAGCUUCAGUGGAAGAGAGGAUUUUUACUACAUUCAAUAUCUGUCUAUUCGCUUCCUCACAUGAAAGGACAACUUAGAACAAGUGUUUUGGGGUCUGAAAGGAUGUUUUUCAAUGUACGGAAAAUAACUUUUUUCAAAUGCUCCACCAAAUAGAGUUAUACAGUUUUGGAAGGACACUAGGGUCAGUAUAUAAUGACACAUUACUCAUAUCUGAGUGAAGCAUCCCUCUAAAAUGAAUGACUAAGGUCAAUGGCGAAAACUGGAGUAGGAGGUUUGCAAUAUGUUCCCAGAUUCAGACAAAGUGAAAUGGGUGGAAAGUGAGCAGAGAAAAGAGAAAGAGAAAGAGAGGGAGACAGGCAAAGCAGACAGACCACAUUUGCGCCAAGGAGUGGCGAAAUGACAGCAGGGGCCACUUUGCCACCGGCAACCAAUCCCCCAAGACCAGUCCUAAAGAGCAAGCAAACAGAAACCCCCCUUCCACAUGUCAAUUCAACUUAUACUAAUUAUAAACUCUGCCGUUUGAGCAUCCCACCCCCAUCCCUCCUGCCCCAGAUCCCAUUCCUUCAGAAACCUCUGCCACAAAUACCCCUUUAGUAUAUGGCUACAGUAUUAUAAGCCUGUUUCCCCCCAAAUGCACUCGCACGCAUACUCAAGCACAUGCACUUGCAUACAGCACCCACACAUUGUGUAAGACUCGUCCUGCUGUUUCUCCCUCCUGCCCUGAGGGCUAAGCAGAGGAGAAAAGAGAGACAGUGUGUGUCAAGAUGACCUUCAUGCUUCUAUGGUGUCUACUGCACAACCCUACAUGGCGUCUCUACAUCCUACUGCAAGGGGAUACUCUCCACCCUCUUCAGAAGUCAUGCAAAUAAGAAUAACACAUAGAAAGAAACUAAAGGGAUAUCCUAGAAAAUUUUAGAAUGAUGCUUUAAACCAAGCAUUUGUGCUUUAUAUUAGUUUAAAUGUAAAGCAAACAAUCAGUCUUGUCUUGAUGAAAUUGAUAAUGAAGGAGUUUACGGGACGUUCACACUGCAAGUGAUCUGAAGCCACCUGAAGUCAUUUCAAUUUCUGGUCACAUGGGCAGCAAAUGACUAACCAGUAUUUAUUUAUUAAUAAACUGAAUUGGCUUUAAUUAUAAUUUCAUGUGAAGUUUUUGUUAUUUUUUUAUGGGCUUUUUGUCAGGUUCUUUUUCACAUUUAGAAUAUUGCUUUUUUUGUUUAUUUUUAGUUUAGUUUAAGUUUUAGUACUGUUGUUAUGUACUUGUCAUUUUUGUUUUUUAUAUUAAGAGUUUAGCUUUAAUUUACUUUUGUUUUCAUUUUAAUUUUAGCUGUUAGUUUAAAUUAAAAUUUUAAAUGUUAGUUUUUUUAUUUUC
ensembl:lncRNA